UACGGAGGGUGCGAGCGUUAAUCGGAAUUACUGGGCGUAAAGGGUGCGUAGGUGGUUGAUUAAGUUAUCUGUGAAAUUCCUGGGCUUAACCUGGGCAGGUCAGAUGAUACUGAUUGACUCGAGUAUGGGAGAGGGUAGUGGAAUUUCCGGUGUAGCGGUGAAAUGCGUAGAGAUCGGAAGGAACACCAGUGGCGAAGGCGGCUACCUGGCCCAAUACUGACACUGAGGCACGAAAGCGUGGGGAGCAAACAGG
rnacentral:rRNA from 1 species